GGCAGGUGCAAAUGUCAGGCCAGCAAUGCAGUCCAGCCUGCACGGACGUGCGUCACCUAGGAAGUUGUGACCUGGCUGCAGUUUCCACUUCAGGUGCGACAGAAGGGUGAACUCCACCUCACCUCCUGGCUACAGAGUGCGGUGGCGCCAGCACAGAGCUCUGCUCAACGUCCCUCUGUGCUUUCACGAUGCUGAUGGAUUAUGAAGAUGAGGAAGCGGAUGCAUAGCAAGUUUAAAUAGCUUGCAGAAGGACACACAGUUUGCAAGUGAAGGAGCUCAAAUUCAAAGACUGGCAGUCUGCAUCCAGAGUUGAUCAUCUUAAAUACCAUGCUGAACCGGUUGCUCUCAAAGUCUAAACAGUAUUUUUUACAAUAAGAUAUCCUUUUGUAGGUCAACGAAUAGUUUCUAAUUCUUUUUAAAAUAAAAUACAAUGAACUGA
rnacentral:lncRNA from 10 species